UUAUGAGAAGGCACUUUUAGAGUAUGAAAAGCAUAAGAGAGAGACUGGGGAGCUACAGCUCCCUGUUGGAGCAUUUCAUCAAUCUCCAAAUGUGGAAAAAGAGUCUAGGGAUCAUCAGAGGUGGUCGGUUGCUGUGGAUUCUCUACAGAAAAUGAUAGGGAAGGAGAAAUUUUACAGAAAAGAGCAUUUGAAACAUGACUUGGAAGCAUGUAACAACAUUUCAACCUCUACCAUCUGUUUGUAUAUAUCAAAUAAUGAGUUU